rnacentral:lncRNA from 10 species
AAAGGUCAAGAAGUUAAUGCCUACAAAACCAAAUGCUGAAAAUCCCAUGGGGAAGGAAAAAAUGAAGAAGCAAAUGCGCUUUCUCAAUAUGAGAACCUCAUUAACAUUGAGUAGUGAUUUCUACAUGUUGGGGAAAUGACAAGGAACAGAUGUGGAGAUGAACAAACCGAAGCACCUAAAUGUCAAAUUCUAGCAAAGUCCAGUUAAGGCAUCCCUAGGCCUUAAAAUCCCUUCAGGUGAUGCUAAUGACCUACCAGGUUAAAGAAGCACCGAAGUGAAUCUGUUUGAUGAAAAUGCAAUUUCUGAAACUAGGACAAAAAAUUAGAAAACAAUUUUGCUAUCUCUAUAUAUGUAUGUAUGUAUGUAUGCAUGUAGACGCAAUGUGAAAAUGAAGAAUUCAAAUAUCUGACUGCCGUCAAUGGUCAACGAAUUAUAGAGCAAUGUGUCAAGCUAACCCCAAAUUACAAAGGACUAGGAUUCAGUGUGUCUAUUACAGCCCCUUUGUUAAGUCUUUCUGCUUGGUGAAGCUCUUGUAGAAAAGAAAUUACUCGCAAUAUUGAGAUGUGUUGUUCAUGUCGAUUUAUGGGAUAACAAAUUAGUAGAGAAUUAUUGUUUUAUUUUUAUUUUUCAUUUAUUUGCACUUUUGCAUGCAAAAACAAACAAACAAAAAAAUCCAGCACACAUAAUGUAGGUUGAGGUGAUGCUGUAAUAGAAUUUCCCAACUAAAGUACUUGCAUAAUAGCACCACCAUUUAAUUGGGCAGAUUAUUGGGGAGAGAUUCAGUAUGCUUAUUUCUGUGAUAGUUAAAAAUGAGGAAAGAGACUUUUGACUGACAUAUAAAAGAAAAUAAUAAACUUCAGUAGCACAUCAAUUGUUUUGUACAGCCAAGGUUUGUUUUUUAAUAAUGCUUAUAUGGUGAGAAUUGGUGCUUGCUGGGCUAUGAUGUUCACUUUAGGCUGCCUUCUUUCUCUAGUACACCUCUUAAAUAAGCUAUUCUUACCUCUGUAUAGACAAGCAAAACUUGUCCUGCUUUGUUACCAAGUUUACCUUAAAGGCAGUUGGCAAAAGAGAAAGUGAAUGUCAUCCAACACUGUGCUACUUGAUGGUUAUUUAUUUGACAUGUUUAUAUUUCUCCCCAGGCAUGCCAAUUAAGAUAGUUCAUCUGCCUGUGUUAGAAAAUUGACUUAGAAUGGGCCGCUAAAACCAACCACAAUGCCCAAGGUCAUUGUCUAAUAGAGUAACUUGUCCAAUUACAGAGUAAGUUGCAGAAACAAUGGAGAAAACAUAAUAAAAAUACUUUAAUUAGCGCUGUCUCACUAAUAGGCUAACUCCUUCCCACGGUGUCUGGACAAUAAGAUUUAGCUAAUCUUUUCAUUUCUUCAGGGUAAAGUGUUGUCAGAAUCAUUAUUGUGAGAAGGGCUAGCAGGUGUCUCAAGGCUGCCCAUCACACAUCUACAAAGUGUUUGUAGCAGGAGCUAGUCUAAACAAUCGUAAUCUAUUAAUCUAUUAUCAACCAUAAUCUUCACAACAAUCUGAUAAGGUAGAAAUUAGUAGUGCCCCCAUUUUAUAGGUAAGUAAACAUAUUGAGGUAAGAUCAGAAAGAAAUGAUAGUUCAGUUAUUUUGGAACUUGAAAUAGCUGAUUUCAGACGGAGAAAAAAUCAUUUGCUAAGUAUUUAUAAUUGUAGUGGAUUGAAUUGUGUCUCCCAAAAAGAUAUGUUCAAGUCUUAAAUCCUAGUACCCAGGAAUGUGUUCUUGUUUUAAAAUAGAAUAUUUGCAUAUGCAAUCAAGCUAAAAUGAGGUCAUAUUGGAUUAGGGUGUGCCGUACAUCCAAUGACUGAUGUUUUACAAGAUUAAAAGGGAGAAUUUGGAGACAGAAACACAGACACACACAGAGGGAAGAUGACCGUGCUAAGAUAGAGGCAGAAAUUGAAACGAUUCAGCUAAGGAAUGCAGGAAGCUAGAAAGAGACAAGGAAGGAUUCUUCCCUAGGGUUUUCAGAAAGAUUAUGGCCCUGUUGACAACUGGAUCUCAGAUUUCUAACCUCAAGAAAUUUGAGAAGAUAAAUUUCUGUUGUUUUAAUAGACCUGAUUUAUAACAAUUUGUUAUGGCAGCACUGGGAAAUUAAUACAAUCUUAUUGUUAUGUAGCAUUUUAAAAAAGUUAAUUAUGUGUACACCAAGACAAGGAAUUACACGUUAUAUCCAUCUUCCUUCCUUUACUCCUCCUUAGUGUUUUCCUUCCUGUCUUUCUUCCUCCCUUUUUUUUGAUUUUAGAAUCAGAACAUUCUCCCCCAUGAAAUCUGAAUAUAUAUGAAAUCUACUUACUGAUUUAUGUCCUUAGUAUUUCAGUGUCUCCCUGAUAGAGUGACCAAAAGAUUCUGUAAACCUAUGCACAAUACAGUAAACUGUUGUUGGGUUACACCUCCCUGGGCUGAUAAUCAGAGCCCUUUUAAGGUAAUUAUUAUUAGAUUGGGAAAUCUUGACAUUUCCCCUUUCCUCAUCACUCUGCUGCUAUAGCAAUGGCAAUAUGGUGACCAAUUCUUGCCAUGGCCCAUUUCAUUUCGUUUGGUAGCUCAGAACCAAGACGAUAGGCUAAAAACAUGGUGCAGAGUAUGGAAUUACAACAUCACAACUUCACACUCAGAUGCUAGAUAAAAAAACAUGGUCCAAUUGUUUCCUGUAUCCUUUCUGUUUAUCUUCCAACUGCAAGUGAUCUAAUAUUAUUCAAUCUAAGUUAUCACCAUAAUACCUAAGGCCAAGAAAACAUCUUAAGCCCUUUUAUUUUACUUUUAUUUUCACAUGUGCGCUGGUAAAUGUUUUGUCCCUGACAAUAGUACCUAUGUAAAUCUUUCAAUUUGAGGCAUUGUAUUUCCCUAUAAUCCCACUAUCAAGGGGCCGGUUGAAGGUGUCCAAAUUCUUCUGGUUCUCCACUCCCUUACUGAGUUCAUUGUUUUUCUUAAUCCUACUUCACUUUUCUACCCUUACUCUUUCUAACGCAAAAAAUUCCCUCAGCAUUCAAAUAAGCUCACAUCAUUCAGACUUUUGACAUCGUUCUUUCUCAGAUUUGAAUUAUUUUUCCUUUGAGUAGAUUUUCUUAUUUCUCAGAAGAGUCUUCCACAUGAGAUGCCUACUCUACUUACUGCUAAUUCACUUCUCAAUCCCUUUUCACCACACACUGAAACUGCUCCCCUAGCAUCAUCUCUUCAUUCCUCUUCAUCUCUGCCUCUCCUGUAGGGUUUCUUUCGUGGCUUUUAUCCUCCUCUGUCUGUAUCGCAUAUCUGUCUUGGAAUACAGUGAAGUUAAGUUGCAAAGAAGGUAUUGUGAGAGAGAUAGGGAGCAUAAAAGGACUCUUGAUUUGGAGACAGCAAGUGGAAAAAGAGGGUUUAAACCUGAGUAUAUUUUCCCCUAGUGACCUCAGAAGGUGGCGUUCUUUUGUGACCCUGAGACUGUCAGUCACUGUAUUCAUACCUUUUGAGUUUGCAGUGAUAAGUUAAAUAGAAGAGGCACACCUAAAAUCCUACCUCUACCCUUUCACAUGUGUUUGCAGCAAUGACCGUGUGUGUGUGUGUGUGUGUGUGUGUGUGUGUGUGUGUAAUGCACGAUGUGGUAAUUAGUUUUCAAUAACAGAAUGUAUUGAAACAUUUUAAAAAUAUUUCACUCUAUAUUUUUUAUCUUGGAGAAAUCAUGUAAUCUUAUGAUUUAAAGUACUACCUGCAACCUGAUAAGUCCAAAAUAAGUCUUUAGCCUACUUCUUCCUUCCGAUCUAUCAACUAUAAUAGCUUUUAUGAUACAACAACCUGACUAGGCUUCAAUUUCAGGUUAUUCAAUCAAACUUAUACUAGGUGCUACUGUGAAGGGAUUUGACAGAUAUAAUCAAAGUCCCCAAUCAGUCGAAUUUAAGUAAAAGAGACUGGAUAAACUGCAUGGGCCUGAUUUAAUCAUCUAGAUGGAUUAAAAGCAUGAACUUGUGAAAAAGAGAGUGGGGAAUUUCGAUCGAUUUUGAACUUGCUUUGCUAGCUACAAUCCUUUAAAUCAUGUAAGCCAAUUUAUUAUAAUAAAUCUCUCUC